UGCAAGUCGAGCGGACAGAUGGGAGCUUGCUCCCUGAUGUUAGCGGCGGACGGGUGAGUAACACGUGGGUAACCUGCCUGUAAGACUGGGAUAACUCCGGGAAACCGGGGCUAAUACCGGAUGGUUGUUUGAACCGCAUGGUUCAAACAUAAAAGGUGGCUUCGGCUACCACUUACAGAUGGACCCGCGGCGCAUUAGCUAGUUGGUGAGGUAACGGCUCACCAAGGCAACGAUGCGUAGCCGACCUGAGAGGGUGAUCGGCCACACUGGGACUGAGACACGGCCCAGACUCCUACGGGAGGCAGCAGUAGGGAAUCUUCCGCAAUGGACGAAAGUCUGACGGAGCAACGCCGCGUGAGUGAUGAAGGUUUUCGGAUCGUAAAGCUCUGUUGUUAGGGAAGAACAAGUACCGUUCGAAUAGGGCGGUACCUUGACGGUACCUAACCAGAAAGCCACGGCUAACUACGUGCCAGCAGCCGCGGUAAUACGUA
rnacentral:rRNA from 1 species